rnacentral:rRNA from 1 species
UGACCGAUAGUGAACCAGUACCGUGAGGGAAAGGCGAAAAGAACCCCUGUGAGGGGAGUGAAAUAGAACCUGAAACCGUAUACGUACAAGCAGUGGGAGCAGACUUGUUCUGUGACUGCGUACCUUUUGUAUAAUGGGUCAGCGACUUAUAUUUAGUAGCAAGGUUAAGCGAAUAGCGGAGCCGUAGCGAAAGCGAGUGUUAACUGCGCGUUUAGUUGCUAGGUAUAGACCCGAAACCCGGUGAUCUAGCCAUGGGCAGGUUGAAGGUUGAGUAACAUCAACUGGAGGACCGAACCCACUAACGUUGAAAAGUUAGGGGAUGACUU